rnacentral:rRNA from 1 species
AGCUUAAGCCAUGCAAGUGUAAGUUCACGCCACGCAUUAGAACGGGCGAAACCGCGAAUGGCUCAGGAACCGGACCUAAUCCUCGGGACCGUAAUCCUCCUCGGAGGCGAUGGAUAACUGUGGCAAUUCUAGAGCUAAUACAUGUGACACAGGCCGCGAUCGGUCGGCGCGUCGUCGUCGCCUCGCCUCGUUGCGCGUUGGCACGCGCGUCGACCGUUCCGGGUCGCGGCGCUACAUAUUAGACUGAGACCGAUGCGCGUUAUUCCGUCCUCCCGUCCUCCUCGAUGCCUACUUCGGCUGUAGGCUGCGGUUACUCGGCGGCGCUCACGCGUCGUCGUUUGCCGUUCCUCGUCGUCGUCGUAACGUGUCGUGCGUGUCUGUCGGGGCUAAAGGGCGGCGCGCUCCGCUUUGGUGACUCUGGAUAACUCACUGGUCGAUCGCACGGGCUUUCACGCCUGGCGACGGGUCUCUCGAGGGUCCGCCCUAUCAACUGUCGACGGUCGGUUAAGUGCCUACCGUGGUUACUACGGGUAACGGGGAAUCGGGGUUCGAUUCCGGAGAGGGAGCAUGCGAAACGGCUACCACAUCCAAGGAAGGCAGCAGGCGCGCAAAUUACCCACUCCCGGCACGGGGAGGUAGUGACGAAAAAUAACGACGCGGGACUCUGUCGAGGCCCCGCGAUCGGAAUGAGUACACUUCAAAUCCGUUAACGAGGACCAACCGGAGGGYAAGUCUGGUGCCAGCAGCCGCGGUAAUUCCAGCUCCGGCAGCGUAUAUUAAAGUUGUUGCGGUUAAAAAGCUCGUAGUCCGAACUCGGGUUCGUGGUCGUUUAUUCGGCCCCGGGGCGGCGGCGCCAUCGUCCGUCGUUGACUUUGGUCGUCCGUGCGCAUUCCCGGCCCUUUCCGCCGGUGUCAACCGCUUUGCAUAUCCGCCACGCGGUCCUGCCGGCGGAGAUAUUGCGACGAGCGGUGGUAGGGGGAGUUCGAGGUGGAGAUGUUCGCGGUUUCGUUCGGUGGCGUCUCGCGCUCGGUAUAUAGGGAUGAUUGAGGGGUGUGGUGGCGUUUUUGGGUGUCGGAGUUUCAGAGGGAAGUGCGCUCGGCGGGACGAAGAAGAAGAGCGGCGAAGAGUACGGGGAGUUGGUUGGUUGUCGUUGUAAAAGGCGACUUCCUCUCUCUCCCUCGCUCUCUCGCUCUCUCUCUCUCUCUAUCUCUCCUCCACUUCUUUUCCUUUUUCUCCGUUCUCAUCGUGCCCACCUUCGUCUUCUCUCUCUGUCCUAACCCCGUGGUCGUGGUCGUYGCCUUUCUUCCGCUUCUCUUCUGUCCUUGUCUCUCUUCUGCUGYCGUCUCUGCGCGAGUCUUUCUUCGUGUCUGUUUGCGCGUGUGCGCGGUCGGCGGUUUCUCCUCCAAGGGUGCUCUUGACCGAGUGUCCGCGGCGGCCGGUACGUUCACUUUGAAAAAAUUAGAGUGCUCAGAGCGGGCUGUUCAAGCUUGCAUACGAUAAGCAUGGAAUGAUGGAAGAGGGCCUCGUCUACGUCUGUCGGUCUCCGUCUACGGCGAGGCAAUGAUCGAAGGGAGCGGUCGGGGCCACUCGUAUUGCGACGUUAGAGGUGAAAUUCUUGGAUCGUCGCAAGACGAACUGCAGCGAUGGCGUGUGGCAAGCACGUUUUCCUCGAUCAAGAGCGAAAGUCGGAGGUUCGAAGACGAUCAGAUACCGUCGUAGUUCCGACCGUAAACGAUGCCGACCGGCGAUCCGCCGGCGUUCGCUUCCAUGACCCGGCGGGUAGCCUGCGGKAAACCAGAGUUCGGUUCCGGGGGGAGUAUGGUUGCAAASCUGAAACUUAAAGGAAUUGACGGAAGGGCACCACCAGGAGUGGAGCCUGCGGCUUAAUUUGACUCAACACGGGAAAACUCACCCGGUCCGGACACCGGUAGGAUUGACAGAUCGAUAGCUCUUUCUCGAUUCGGUGGGUGGUGGUGCAUGGCCGUUCUUAGUUGGUGGAGCGAUCCGUCUGGUUGAUUCCGAUAACGAACGAGACUCCGGCCUGCUAACUAGUGCGCCGAUGUGUGUGUUUUUUUACGGCGGGCUCGUCGUCGGCGUUAAUUCGUCGUACGCCGCGGGUCCGGGUCGGUUUCUCACGCACUUCUUAGAGGGACGGGUGGCAGAAAGCCACACGAGGCGGAGCAAUAACAGGUCUGUGAUGCCCUUAGAUGUCCGGGGCCGCACGCGCGCUACACUGGAGGUAUCAGCGGGGACUUCGCCCCGGCCCGAGAGGGUCGGGAAACCUCUCAACCACCUCCCGUGAUAGGGAUCGGGGCCUGUAACCAACCCCGUGAACGAGGAAUUCCCGGUAGGCGCGGGUCAACAGCCCGCGUCGAUCACGUCCCUGCCCUUUGUACACACCGCCCGUCGCUACUACCGAUCGAACGGUCCGGUGAGGUCCUCGGAUCUGGCCGACGACGCCGCCGGGUAACGCUCGUGCGCAAUGGCGAUCGGUUGCGGCCUCGCCGUAGUCGUCGUUAAUCGUGCGUUUUGUCGCCUCGGCGUUCGAUGCCUGGAGAAGACGACCGAACCCGAUCGUUUAGAGGAAGUAAAAGUCGUAACAAGGUUUCC